rfam:Brachypodium distachyon strain Bd21 chromosome 2, whole genome shotgun sequence.
AAUAUACUUCCUCCGUCCAACAAAGGAUGUCACAAAUUUGACUAAACUUGAAUGAAUCUAUACACUAAGUCAUGUCUACAUACGUCCAAAUUUUGACAAACUUGAGACAUCUUCUGUUGGACGGAGGGAGUAUAUA